UACGUAGGUGGCAAGCGUUGUCCGGAAUUAUUGGGCGUAAAGCGCGCGCAGGCGGUCCUUUAACACUGAUGUGAAAGCCAACGGCUCAACCGUGGAGGGUCGUUGGAAACUGGGGGACUUGAGUACAGAAGAGGAAAGGGGAAUUCCACGUGUAGCGGUGAAAUGCGUAGAGAUGUGGAGGAACACCAGUGGCGAAGGCGGCUUUCUGGUCUGUAACUGACGCUGAGGCGCGAAAGCGUGGGGAGCAAACAGG
rnacentral:misc_RNA from 1 species